AUUGAACGCUGGCGGCAGGCCUAACACAUGCAAGUCGAACGAGUGGCGGACGGGUGAGUAACGUCUGGGAACCUGCCUGAUGGAGGGGGAUAACUACUGGAAACGGUAGCUAAUACCGCAAACCAUCAGAUGUGCCCAGAUGGGAUUAGCUAGUUGGUGGGGUAACGGCUCACCAAGGCGACGACCCCUAGCUGGUCUGAGAGGAGGACCGGCCACACUGGAACUGAGACACGGUCCAGACUCCGACGGGAGGCAGCAGUGGGGAAUAUUGCACAAGGGGCGCAAGCCUAAUGCAGCCAUGCCGCGGGGAUGAAGAAGGCCUUCGGGUUGUAAAGUACUUUCAGCGGGGAGGCGUUACCCACAGAAGAAGCGCCGGCUAACUCCGUGCCAGCAGCCGCGGUAAUUC
rnacentral:rRNA from 1 species